rnacentral:rRNA from 1 species
AGCGAACGCUGGCGGCAGGCUUAACACAUGCAAGUCGAACGGGCGUAGCAAUACGUCAGUGGCAGACGGGUGAGUAACGCGUGGGAACGUACCUUUUGGUUCGGAACAACCCAGGGAAACUUGGGCUAAUACCGGAUAAGCCCUUACGGGGAAAGAUUUAUCGCCGAAAGAUCGGCCCGCGUCUGAUUAGCUAGUUGGUGUGGUAACGGCGCACCAAGGCGACGAUCAGUAGCUGGUCUGAGAGGAUGAUCAGCCACAUUGGGACUGAGACACGGCCCAAACUCCUACGGGAGGCAGCAGUGGGGAAUAUUGGACAAUGGGCGCAAGCCUGAUCCAGCCAUGCCGCGUGAGUGAUGAAGGCCCUAGGGUUGUAAAGCUCUUUUGUGCGGGAAGAUAAUGACGGUACCGCAAGAAUAAGCCCCGGCUAACUUCGUGCCAGCCGCCGCAGU